CAUUUUUGACGAAAAAUGCUUAAGUAUGGCAACAAUUUUGUACGGUAAAAUUUUAGUUUCCCACUUUCAUCAAUCUCUAUUG